GGCAGCCAGCAGGAUUCGAACCUGCACGGGGAACCCCAACAGGAUUUCCAGUCUACCGCCUUAAUCGCUCGGCCACGACUGC